CCGGACCGGCGCACGGGUGAGUAACGCGUAUGCAACUUACCUAUCAGAGGGGGAUAACCCGGCGAAAGUCGGACUAAUACCGCAUGAAGCAGGGGCCCCGCAUGGGGAUAUUUGCUAAAGAUUCAUCGCUGAUAGAUAGGCAUGCGUUCCAUUAGGCAGUUGGCGGGGUAACGGCCCACCAAACCGACGAUGGAUAGGGGUUCUGAGAGGAAGGUCCCCCACAUUGGCACUGAGACACGGACCAAACUCCUACGGAAGGCAGCAG
rnacentral:rRNA from 1 species